rnacentral:rRNA from 1 species
UAGACUGCUAAUACCGCAUAAGCGCACAGAAUCGCAUGAUUCGGUGUGAAAAACUCCGGUGGUAUGAGAUGGACCCGCGUCUGAUUAGCUAGUUGGUGGGGUAAAGGCCUACCAAGGCGACGAUCAGUAGCCGACCUGAGAGGGUGAUCGGCCACAUUGGGACUGAGACACGGCCCAAACUCCUACGGGAGGCAGCAG